UGCAAAGAUGCAGGGACAUAAAG
rnacentral:piRNA from 1 species